GGUAAAAUGACCGAGUAGGUGGCGGCUUGUAGUUCCGAAAACAGGGGUUAAAGUCCCCUUUUUACCA
rnacentral:tRNA from 1 species